AACGUCACCCACCGCGUGGCGGCUUGUCGUUCCUGAACCUCAGGCCCUUGAACAGCCCUCCUCGGCCGCCGUCUGCCUCCGCCGCCUCCGCUUGGACAGGAUUCAUCGACGUGGAAAUGGAGAGAUGGAGCAACAACAGGAAGAGGUGAAGAUGAUAUCUCUGUUCCGCUGCCUGAUUUCUUGAGCCUGAGGAACAGAAAGCUUCAGCACUGUAAUACUGCUGCUCCUCACUGGGUGCCUGCAGGCCAUCAGUAACACCAGGGGUACCGUUCACACCAGGGGUACCAUCCACACCAGGGGUACCGUCCACAUCAAGGGUACCGUCCACAUCAGGGGUACCAUCCACAUCAGGGGUACUGUUCACAUCCGAUGGACGACGGCCUGUGAUGUUCCAUAAGUUUGGUAUUCGUAUCCGCAUAUUGCAAAAGGUGGAAAGACGUCUACAGCCGACUAACAAAGUUCUGCAGGGAACGCAGCCACGAAGGGUCGAACACAUCCUGCAAGGGUGUAGGUCGCUCAGCUGUGUCUGCAGCAGCCUGAUAAAAAGGAAACUGAGCUGAAUACUACUCAACUUUUACUUCAGAGUCUGAUCGCAGCAAGGAGGAAAGAUCAAUGGAAUCUCUCCUUCACACAGCGAGGGUGGAUCAGUCUGCUGAGGCUGCUCCAGAGCAGACAGUGAGUCCUCCAGUGGCUGAGAGUCCUUGUCCGGGAUGCAUGUGAGUUUAGCCAUGGUCCUUCUCUCACCCACCCCCUGCACCGUGUCCAUUGUGCAGUGUUUAGUGUACAGUAAUUUGAGACGUUUGAUGUUUGGUUUUGUUGACCUUCUUUCUUUAAAGCAGGAAGUAAUUGAAGAUUGAAUGAGUUGAUGGAGGAACCUUAUUCAAUGUAAAGCAACAGGGACCAUCCUCUGAGUGUAAAGCCUGUAGAGGCUGAACAAUUAUUUCAUCCAUAAAUCACCCGACCUUUGUUAUGGGUAUGUGCUGACCAGCUGUGAUGUGUUCAGUGACUAAACUUGGAUUGACAGAUGACUCAAUUCCUUACACAACUCAAAGCACGACAUUCAGAGCAAGAAUGCAGCGGUCGUGUGACGGCUAACUACUGCACAACCCCUAGAAACUCACCACUCAACCUCACGGUGACACUGCUGGAACGCGGCUCAGGCUCUUUUUUCAGGGGGGUUGGGAAUAUACAGCACUGUGUUGUUCAUGAGGCUCAUUCAUCGUCGGAACAUUUAAUAAUUCAGUGACCGAAGCUGCGAUUGCAGCCUCUUUGUACUCCGCACACUCUGCUAUUGUCCACUCUUACACAAGAUAUUCUCAAUCAAGUCAUGGAUAUGUGAUAAACACUGACUCUUAUCUCAGUUUGUUUGACAUACUCCCUCUGAUUUCAACAUUUGUGACUUUUUUUCAAGGUAUCCACAUUCACGUUUAACUGAAUAGAGGUAGUAGGAACCAGCUGGUCAAACCAACACAACCUAAAUGUUUUAACUGCAUUUUAUAAUGAUAAUAAUCCCUUUGUUUCUCAUAUAAAGUUAUAAUUUGUGUAGCAGCAUUGAUAAUCUUUAAGGCCUGUUGUAUUUUAUCCUUCAUUUAUUGUGAGGAGCAGUUCAUUUCCUGCUCUGCUGCAGGGAC